GUGCUGAGAAGCUACGGAGCCCAUGUGAAACAGUGAAGAAACAGCCACCUUCUGUAUGACCUUCUGCAGAGUCUCCGGGAGCUCACCAAGGUGGAGCCCCUUCCAUUCCUAAGGAUGUCAGAUGCAUUCUGGGCAACCCUCCACAUGGAUUCGUUUGGAAAUAUUGCUAGUUCUUCGUGGAGAUUGUGUCCAAGGAAGCAGCAUCGAUGCUAAGUGGAUCUUGGAACUGCUUCUCAGAGGAAAGUGUAUUCCAAAAUAAGGGCAGGAGUUCACCGAAAGGCCAUCGUAAUGGAAGCCAGUAAGAGCCAGCCCAAG
rnacentral:lncRNA from 1 species